UAAGUCGCAACGCGGUAGUACUACCUAGUGGCGGACGGGUGAGUAACGCGUGGGAAUCUGCCUUAACAUGGGGGAUAAGGGGCCGAAAGGCUCGCUAAUACCGCAAAUGCCGAAAGGUGAAAGGAGUAAUCCGUCUUAAGAUGAGCCCGCGUCCGAUUAGCUAGUUGGUAAGGUAAUGGCUUACCAAGGCACAGACGGGUAGGGGGCGUGAGAGCGUGACCCCCCACACUGGUACUGACACACGGACCAGAUACCUACGGGUAGCAGCAGCUAGGAAUAUUGGACAAUGGGCGCAAGCCUGAUCCAGCAACACCGCGUGGAGGACGAAGGCCUUCGGGUCGUAAACUCCUUUUUGGGGGGAUGAGAAAGGACASUACCCCCAGAAUAAAGCCCGGCUAACUACGUGCCAGCAGCCGCGGUAAUACUUAUGGGCCAAGCGUUAUCCGGAUUUACUGGGCGUAAAGCGCAUGUAGGCGGUUUAUUAAGUCGGACGUGAAAGCUCCUGGCUCAACUGGGAGAGGUCSUUCGAAACUAGUAUACUGGAUGAUGGUAAAGGAGAGCGGAAUUCCCGGUGUAGCGGUGAAAUGCGUACAUAUCGGGAGGAACACCAUUGGCGAAAGCGGCUCUCUGGCCCAUUCCUGACGCUGAUAUGCGAAAGCCAGCGGAGAGAACGGGAUUAGAAACCGCGGUAUACCUGGCCGUAAACGAUGUCAACUAGGCGUACGAGGUUAUUGACUCCUUCUGUGCUGUAGCUAACGCGUGUMAGUUGACCGCCUGGGCGACUACGGCCCKCCAGGCUAAAGACUCACAGGCAGUUGACGGGAUCCCCUGCACAAGACAUUCGCAGCGUGUGGUAUAAUUUCGGAGGCCUACCGCGUGAGUAACCCUUACCCAGGGGUUUGGACAUGACUAGUUGG
rnacentral:rRNA from 1 species